UACGUAUGGUGCAAGCGUUAUCCGGAUUUACUGGGUGUAAAGGGAGCGUAGGCGGCGCGUUAAGUCUGAUGUGAAAACCCGAGGCUCAACCACGGGAGUGCAUUGGAAACCGGCGGGCUGGAGUGCCGGAGAGGUAAGCGGAAUUCCUAGUGUAGCGGUGAAAUGCGUAGAUAUUAGGAGGAACACCAGUGGCGAAGGCGGCUUACUGGACGGCAACUGACGCUGAGGCUCGAAAGCGUGGGGAGCAAACAGG
rnacentral:rRNA from 1 species